rnacentral:rRNA from 1 species
UACGGAGGGGGCUAGCGUUGUUCGGAAUUACUGGGCGUAAAGCGCACGUAGGCGGCUUUGUAAGUUAGAGGUGAAAGCCCAGGGCUUAACCCUGGAAUUGCCUUUAAGACUGCAUCGCUAGAAUCGUGGAGAGGUGAGUGGAAUUCCGAGUGUAGAGGUGAAAUUCGUAGAUAUUCGGAAGAACACCAGUGGCGAAGGCGGCCCACUGGACGUGUAUUGACGCUGAGGUGCGAAAGCGUGGGGAGCAAACAGG